ensembl:lncRNA
GUUAAUACUUUACCCAUGUAUUUUGUUUUGACUGAUAUAAUAAAGUAAGCCCGACCCGUAAACUUAAUGACUUAUUAUAUCUGACUGUUGAACUGUUUUGAACAUUUUAUUCAAUAAGGAGUCAACGUGCUGUUAGCUUGAUAGCUGAAGUUAGCAAACGUAAGUGAGAUAGCUAAUACCUCUGGGAAGUUCGUGGACUUUGCUUGUUGUUCGCUAACACGGUGAACCUGAAAUUGUCUGCCCAACGGGGUGAAGACUUACCUACCCUUCGAUAGACUUUCCUUCUGGCAGCAACACGGGACAGGAGAGAGGGGCUGCGCGCGCUGUUACAUCCUGAAAUGUGUGAAUGAUGUCACACGUUGAAGCAGAGCCUUGGCAGUUAAGUGGCUCGUCAGGCUCCUGUGUGGCAGGAAUAGUUCUGUGCAGCCACCUUGUUGCCACACUUUACAAGAUAAGAAGGAGUGUGCUACAUAGUUUGGCAUGCAUGAACACCCUGCAGAUAUGGCAUAGGCCUAGGACACAGAGAAUCAGUGCGUGCAGAGCCUACCCAGAAGCUGGUGGUGAAGAAGUUAAAGUCAUCAGCCAGGAGUGUAUGCAAAUCUACACUUUAUCAGCAUAUGUCUUUCAUCUGGAGAACCUAAAGGUGACCCAUGUGCUGUCAGCACUGACAUAGAAGGUGCACACGAACAGUCAGAAAAUGAAGUGAAAUACGUCAACUUGGAGUGAACGCUAGUAGUUUUGAUGGGGAGUUAUCUAGUCAGGCACUUGCAACCUCUUAAAGGGCUGCAGCAGAAUGGUGUGUUGAAAAGAGGGCUCGAGCGAGAGCUUCAAGUGCUGGAGCAGUACU